rnacentral:tRNA from 2 species
GCGAGCGUGGUGGAAUUGGUAGACACGCGGUCUUGAGGGGGCCGUGGCCGUAGGCCGUGAGAGUUCGAUUCUCUCCGCUCGCACCA